rnacentral:rRNA from 1 species
GAUGAACGCUGGCGGCAUGCCUAAUACAUGCAAGUCGAACGGAAAGGCCCUGCUUUUGUGGGGUGCUCGAGUGGCGAACGGGUGAGUAACACGUGAGUAACCUGCCCUUGACUUUGGGAUAACUUCAGGAAACUGGGGCUAAUACCGGAUAGGAGCUCCUGCUGCAUGGUGGGGGUUGGAAAGUUUCGGCGGUUGGGGAUGGACUCGCGGCUUAUCAGCUUGUUGGUGGGGUAGUGGCUUACCAAGGCUUUGACGGGUAGCCGGCCUGAGAGGGUGACCGGCCACAUUGGGACUGAGAUACGGCCCAG